GGGAUCUCCUGACACAGUUCCAUCUAACUCUAGCACAGAGAUUAUGGUGGUGGUUAAUUCAUUCAUUAAUUGUCAGCCUGAGUGGGAACGCUCAGCUGAUUAGAGUCAGCCUGGUUGUCAGAGCGAUACAGAAGGAGAACAGGAGGGGAGGAGUUCAGCUGAUCUUCCUUGGAAGAGCUUCCUCUGCGACUGCUUUUCUUCGGAAGAGUUCCGGCGGUUUUCUUCAAAGGCGCUUUGGCCGCUUCCGGUCCUCGAGCUCCAGUCCCAGUCUUCACUUUGGACGCGGUCUUCUGGUUUCCAGUGUCGAUCCCUCAGCCUUCUGGCUCUGAUCCUUCAUCCAUUUGGUGCAAGCACUUUGGCUGCUGGCGCUGGCCCUCGGGCCUUUCAGGUGCCCUGGGAAAUCCACUGUCACAGGUCUCCUUCAGAAGUCUACCACCUGCUUGACCCAACUCUGCACAUAAUAUUGUGCAUAUUUAUGGGAUACCACACAAUUAUUUGA
rnacentral:lncRNA from 1 species